GACGAACGCUGGCGGCGUGCCUAAUACAUGCAAGUCGAGCGAAGCGGCGGAUGGGUGAGAAACGCGUGGGUGACCGGCCCUUAAGUCUGGGAUACUAUCUGGAAACAGAUGCUAUUACCGGAUAAUAAAGGAUGGACCUGCGAUGCAUUAGCUCGUUGGUAGGGUAACGGCGUACCAAGGCGAUGAUGCAUAGCCGGGUUGAGAGACUGAGCGGCCACAUUGGGACUGAGACACGGCCCAGACUCCUACGGGAGGCAGCAGUAGGGAAUCUUCCACAAUGGACGAAAGUCUGAUGGAGCCACGCCGCGUGAGUGAAGAAGGUUUUCGGGUCGUAAAGCUCUGUUGUUGGUGAAGCGGUAAUCAACCAGAAAGUCACGGCUAACUACGUGCCAGCCGCCGCGGUAAUUC
rnacentral:rRNA from 1 species